rnacentral:rRNA from 1 species
AGUCUGAGACCUGAUGCCGAGCCGAUUGUGGUGAAGUGGAUGAUCCUAUGCUGUCGAGAAAAGCCUCUAGCGAGUUUCAUGGCGGCCCGUACCCUAAACCGACUCAGGUGGUCAGGUAGAGAAUACCGAGGCGUUCGGGUGAACUAUGGUUAAGGAACUCGGCAAAAUGCCCCCGUAACUUCGGGAGAAGGGGGGCCAUCACUGGUGAU